rnacentral:tRNA from 1 species
GCGGACGUGGCGAAACCGGUAGACGCAAGGGACUUAAAAUCCCUCGGCCAAAAGCCGUGCGGGUUCGAUCCCCGCCGUCCGCA